rnacentral:rRNA from 1 species
GGCAGCCGCGGUAAUUCCAGCUCCAAUAGCGUAUAUUAAAGUUGUUGCAGUUAAAAAGCUCGUAGUUGAAUUUCGGGAUCAAUAUAUCGGUCGUGCCUUUGGUACGUACUGGUAUCAUUGAUUUCUCCUUUCUGACGAAUCAUGAUGUCAUUAAUUUGGUGUUAUGAGGAGUUAGGACUGUUACUUUGAAAAAAUUAGAGUGUUUAAAGCAGGCAUUAGCUUGAAUACAUUAGCAUGGAAUAAUGAAAUAGGACGUUUGACCCUAUUUUGUUGGUUUUAGGAUCGACGUAAUGAUUAAUAGGGAUAGUUGGGGGCAUUAGUAUUCAAUUGUCAGAGGUGAAAUUCUUGGAUUUAUUGAAGACUAAUUACUGCGAAAGCAUUUGCCAAGGAUGUUUUCAUUAAUCAAGAACGAAAGUUAGGGAUCGAAGACGAUCAGAUACCGUCGUAGUCUUAACCAUAAACUAUGCCGACUAGGGAUCGGAUGAUGUUAAUUUAUAAUGACUCAUUCGGCGCCUUAAC